UACGUAGGUGGCAAGCGUUGUCCGGAUUUACUGGGCGUAAAGAGCGCGCAGGCGGUCGUUCAAGUCGCGUGUGAAAGCCCCCGGCUCAACUGGGGAGGGUCACGCGAUACUGUUCGACUCGAAGGCAGGAGAGGGAAGCAGAAUUCCCGGUGUAGUGGUGAAAUGCGUAGAUAUCUGGAGGAACACCGGUGGCGAAGGCGGCAUCCUGGACCGACACUGACGCUGAGGAGCGAAAGCCAGGGGAGCAAACGGG
rnacentral:rRNA from 1 species